CUUUAAAAGACAAACGAUGAGCAAUACCGUAGAAUUCAAAAAACUGAGCAUGCUCUUCAGGUGGCAGAGGAGGAGCUUCUAAGAGUACAAUUGGAAGCAACAGCUAAGUCAAAGGAAUUAUCACAAGCUCAUGGAGC